CCUGGCUGUCACAAAAUGACUCCUCACAAUGCAUUUCCUAACAUGCUGCCAGAUCUUGUUUCAACAUUAUCAUCCUCCCGGGCUUUCGUUUCUGGUAUUCCACGAGUGGAUUUUCCGAGCUCUUCAUUAUAAUGCAGGUGGGGAAACUGAGGCACGGGGGGACACCAUCCAGUUCGAUCCCAGUCAUUGUGGGAGAGGGAUGGGAGCAGAGCCAGGCAGCGAGCUGCCCCGUGCCCUGCCUGAUUUGGCCCUGGCCGUGGGUGCCCAGAUGUGCAUCGCUGCCUCCAGAUGUGCAGGAGGCGAGGAGGGCUGGGCAGCCUCGCUGGGGAGGCCGUGGGAAGAGGACGGACGGGGAGCACCGGAGCAGACCACAGUUAUUGAUCACAACCUGAGCAGUGAAUCACCACAAACACGGGGGGAAGGAGCAGGAGAGAUGCUGCUCUGCUGCCUCAGGUUUGCAUUUCUUUUUCUUUCUUUUUUUUUCUUUCUUUUUUAUUUUAUUUUUUUAUUUUUAAUUUUCUUUAUUUUCUUCACAGAAAGGGCCCUGCAGCAUUCCCCUCCCCGACUGUGGCCCAGCCACCCCAUCCCCAGCUGAAAGCAUGACAGCCCCGCACACCCCUGAUGGUCACGGUGUGGCGUGCUGGGCAUUAUAUCAAAAAACCCGAAACCUGAUCCUCGCUGUGGUGUGCUCUUAUAUGAGAUCCCAUCAAGCCUGGCUUUCUGGUCUGUAAGGAGCUCCAGGAGCAGGAAGUUUAAAUUGGAAAAACUGCAAAUGAGGCACUCAUGGGGAGCAUUAAAGCACCAGGAAACCCACUGAGACCUUGAGCUUGCUCAUCUCGUCCUGGAGCUUUGAUGCUGUGGGGGACAACUCUUUGGGAGAUGGGUAUGCUGGCCAGGAAGGCCAGCCUGGUGAAUAUGGUGACGCCUUUGGAUCCUAAACCCUGUGCAUCUGCUUGUGCAUCACCUUGCCCUCACAUUGUGCUCAUCCUCAGCACGGGGCUGGGUUACCAAACUGUGCUGCAACCUUGGCUGACCUUCUUUGCCAUUCCCUGCCCAUCCUUGGCCUUGUUUACCCCGACUGGAGGUUUUUGGAGGCAGGGACAGUCACUUACGUGUGUACUAUACUUAGCACAAGGGGUUUCAGGCUUGGCUGGGUUCUCUAAUAGCAAUGAAUAUUCCAUUAAAAAAAAAAAAGUUACUUGAUUAAAAGAAAGCUAUUUAGACUACAAAGUCAAAGCACUGCCAAGUUUAAUAGUUAUCCCUCCAACCUUCAUUCUGCCUCUAAAACUUUUCCAAAUGAAUAAAAUUAAGAGAUGCUCCA
rnacentral:lncRNA from 1 species